rnacentral:rRNA from 1 species
CCUACGGGAGGCAGCAGUGAGGAAUAUUGGUCAAUGGGCGCUAGCCUGAACCAGCCAAGUAGCGUGAAGGAUGACUGCCCUAUGGGCUGUAAACUUCUUUUAUAUGGGAAUAAAGUGAAGUAUGUAAACUGCUUUGCAUGUACCUUAUGAAUAAGGAUCGGCUAACUCCGUGCCAGCAGCCGCGCUAAGACGGAGGAUCCGAGCGUUAUCCGGAUUUGUUGGGUUUAAAGGGAGCGUAGGCGGGUUGUUAAGUCAGUGGUGAAAGUUUGCGGCUCAACCGUAAAAUUGCAGUUGAUACUGGCAUCCUUGAGUACGGUAGAGGUAAGCGGAAUUCGUGGUGUAGCGGUGAAAUGCUUAGAUAUCACGAAGAACUCCGAUUGCGAAGGCAGCCUGCUGGACUGUAACUGACGCUGAUGCUCGAAAGUGUGGGUAUCAAACAGGAUUAGAUACCCGAGUAGUC